rnacentral:rRNA from 1 species
GAUGAACGCUGGCGGCGUGCUUAACACAUGCAAGUCGAACGGGAAACCUUUUAUUGAAGCUUCGGCAGAUUUAGCUGGUUUCUAGUGGCGGACGGGUGAGUAACGCGUGGGUAACCUGCCUUAUACAGGGGGAUAACAGUCAGAAAUGGCUGCUAAUACCACAUAAGCGCACAGAGCUGCAUGGCUCAGUGUGAAAAACUCCGGUGGUAUAAGAUGGACCCGCGUUGGAUUAGCUGGUUGGUGGGGUAACGGCCCACCAAGGCGACGAUCCAUAGCCGGCCUGAGAGGGUGAACGGCCACAUUGGGACUGAGACACGGCCCAGACUCCUACGGGAGGCAGCAGUGGGGAAUAUUGCACAAUGGGGGAAACCCUGAUGCAGCGACGCCGCGUGAAGGAAGAAGUAUCUCGGUAUGUAAACUUCUAUCAGCAGGGAAGAUAAUGACGGUACCUGACUAAGAAGCCCCGGCUAACUACGUG